UUUGGCUGGGUAGGGCACACACUAGAUUCUGUAAGCCAGCAAAGCAUGUGUUCUUGCAAUUAGUCUACCGACACAAGUUAAUCAGGAUCCAAAAUUCAUCCAUCUCCGUCCAGUUGAAAAGGCGCCAUGCAUCUUUGUCAGCACAUGCUUUGCCGAUGGCCUUUCAGAAUGCACUCUUACACGCAUGGGUUGUUAGUAGCAUUCUGCCUUCUCUUAUUAUCUAUCUGUUCCAUAGUAUUUUGAUUGCAAGCAUUAACUUGGUCAUGAUUGGACACCUGAAUUUAUUGACGUCUUUGAGCAUCAUGAUUUGUUGUGCGUGAUACCACUCUUGGUCCCAAACUCCCAUAGUCUCUGCACAACUUUUUCCGGUGUAUGAUUGUGACGAUAGCGUCCCUUGUUGCCACAAGAACACCACAUUUACUGUUCUUGAAUCCAUACACAUGUCCCAAAAAUU
rnacentral:misc_RNA from 1 species